rnacentral:misc_RNA from 1 species
GAUAUAGUUGCUGCUGAGCCAUAAUUAUUUAGGUAAGAUGUUUUUUGAUUUAUAUCAAUUAAUGGAUAAUGAGUAAUGGCAACAUAUAACGAUUUUAACUGGAAAUACGCAUUAGUAUUUUUAAUUGUAUUCUUAACAAUACCUACGAUGCACUUAUGGGCUGGCCUAUUUGGUAUCUUCGGUUGAUUGCUAAUAUUCA